GGGGCUGACAUGGAAUUGACGGGAAGCAGUAUAAGUAAACCGGCAUGCCGAGCGUGUAAGUAGCUCGAUAAUCCAUUUACAGAUUCUUUUUAAUUGGCGAAUAUAACUACGCCAUGGCUGCUUAAUCUUAGAGGUUAAGUACCAUUUGCCCCGCGCUUGAGACACCGUACACAGCGCGCUGGCAACCAAAACUCGGUGUCGCCUUGUGCAAGAUUCAUCCACUUGCCAAGUUGCGUAUUAACGGUUGUAAGGCUUCGGUUGGUGGGAUUACUUAACCUGCCGCAAGCACGAAAAGCAAUAAGUAACUAAGCAUGUAGAGGGUCUAUUUCUACCUUAGCCGGACGCGGGUUCGAUCCCCGCCAGCUCCACUU
rnacentral:tmRNA from 2 species